GUUCAAAGUGUUCAGACGUGAAAUAUAAGUGAAAAGUAACGCGCAAUUGUUAAAAGUAUUAAAGUCUAUUGUAAUAAAUAAAACGAUAACAGGAAUCUUUGAGCGACAUAAUCAGCAUUUCAUCAAGCAUCAUCAAGUAAACCAAACGUGUAAAUAGUUGGAAAUUGGAAAUAGUUGGGAAAGAAUUUGGAAUUCUCUGGUUUUGGGUGAAGGAAAUACUAACGAGAAUCGGUGCAGAAUUUCAAAAACAAGUGAAAAAAAGAUAUGGCUUCCAAUGCUAAUUACUAAAAGGGACACUGAAGAAGUAUUAUCACAUUUUUUGUAAGGCUCCCAAUGCAAAUUACGAAAGCGGACACUGAGGAGGUAUUGUCAAAUUUUUG